rnacentral:rRNA from 1 species
GCGUGAGUGAAGAAGGCCUUCGGGUUGUAAAGCUCUUUUGGCAGGGACGAUGAUGACGGUACCUGCAGAAUAAGCCCCGGCUAACUUCGUGCCAGCAGCCGCGGUAAUACGAAGGGGGCUAGCGUUGUUCGGAAUUACUGGGCGUAAAGGGCGCGUAGGCGGCCCGUUUAGUCAGGCGUGAAAGCCCUGGGCUCAACCCGGGAAUUGCGCUUGAUACUGACGGGCUCGAGGACGGGAGAGGAUGGUGGAAUUCCCAGUGUAGAGGUGAAAUUCGU